CAGGGAAUCUUGCACAAUGGGCGAAAGCCUGAUGCAGCGACGCCGCGUGGGGGAUGAAGGCCCUAGGGUCGUAAACCCCUUUCAGCAGGGACGAAAAAUGACGGUACCUGCAGAAGAAGCCCCGGCCAACUACGUGCCAGCAGCCGCGGUAAGACGUAGGGGGCGAGCGUUGUCCGGAUUUAUUGGGCGUAAAGAGCUCGUAGGCGGUUGCGUAAGUCGGAUGUGAAAACUCAGGGCUCAACCCUGAGACGCCAUCCGAUACUGCGCUGACUUGAAUCCAGUAGGGGAGUGCGGAAUUCCUGGUGUAGCGGUGAAAUGCGCAGAUAUCAGGAGGAACACCCAUGGCGAAGGCAGCACUCUGGGCUGGUAUUGACGCUGAGGAGCGAAAGCAUGGGUAGCGAACAGGAUUAGAUACCCCAGUAGUCCCUGAGCGGGCUGGCAAGGCGCAU
rnacentral:rRNA from 1 species